GCUUACGGCCACACCACCCUGAGCGCGAUCUCGUCUGAUCUCGGAAGCUAAGCAGGGUCGGGCCUGGUUAGUACUUGGAUGGGAGACCGCCUGGGAAUACCAGGUGCCGUAAGCU
rnacentral:rRNA from 1 species